GAAAGACACGGUUCAGUGUCUGUCUGUCAGAACCGUAUCUGCUGUUCAGGCUGACUCAUCUAGUCUGGAGGAGGGGCUAUCUUCAUUUCUAAUUGAGGCUGUGGAGUCCAGGGACGAGACCUGACUGACUUGUCUCAGAGGUACUUCCUGAACAGUCUUUCUCUCACCGUGGACCAAAGGUUUGGCCAGAGCUAUGUAGCUGUCAAGCUCUAGAGAAAAUGAGGGGCGUAUUUCUAAAAGGGCAGAGGGAAACAUAGCCAGAAGAGGCAGACAGGCGGAUGAAAAUAUCAAACGGUUCCAGCGUGCACUGAAGGAUCAGAUGUGUGGAGAGUAGAGGCCAGGGAGGGACUGACUGCAGGGGGAUUGCCAGCUCCUCUGAGAAGCCUUUCCCAGAGGCCUGCUUUGGCUCCUGACGUCCUUGUUCGUGUUCUCUGUAGCCGAUGGCAUGUAUAUUACCUAAUCACAGCAGCUUUGAAGGUGAAAGUUCCUCUGGUUCAUCCUGUUUCCUUCCUUCCGGUUGUGAACAUGGACUUACUGUUUGGAUGAAGAAAUGAAGAAACGGGAGAAAUACAGACAUAGAGAAGGAAGGUCAGAGGUUCUUCCUAGAAAUUUGUCUUCCAGUGAGGCAGUGGGCUUCAGAACUCCAAGAUCAUGCAGAAGAGCACAUGAGCGUCUGCUCUCAUCAGCCAGGGUGGCUGGUUCCCCUCACACUGGGAAUCUUAGUGCUAAGCUCUCAAAACCCAGUACUGCAAUAGAGGAAGGUGUCAAGACUCUUCUUCCAAUGAGACAGAUGUUUCUACUUUUCAAGCAGUUCUCUCUUCCGGACAUCCCAUGACCAUCUGUUUAAGGCAAGUAUGUUACCUGGUAUAAACAGAUAAAGAAAUUAGAGCUUGGAGGAGACAGUGAUCCAUUGAGGGGAGUCCAACCAACCAAUCAUUGUCAGGGCUAGGUCUACUUCAUUUCCAACUCAUCUUAGCAUCUAAAAUGUUAUGGGUAACACAGAAGGAAACACACCCAUUUCCAUCUUUCUUCUUCUCCAAAUCCAUUGGAGGAAAAGAGGGAUGGAAAUGGGGUGACUUUCUCCUCCCUUGACAGUCACACUGACAAGUACCCUCUUCCCUUCUGCUUUCAGUCACCAAAAAACCAGCCUCAGUGAACACACCCAUGUUAACUGUUUUAUUUCAGCCAGAUGUGCUGCAUCCCAUGGCAGAAAUUCCAUGAAAGUGAGUAAGCCACGAUUCCCUGGUAUGGAUCUAGGUUUACCCUGGAAAGUCUGCAGCGUUCUUUCCUCUAACUGUGUCCUCUAACUGGCCACACUCGAACUAAGGAUCCCAAGAUCGUUUCUCUGGAUGAGCUUAGGUCAGGAAAUGCUCCCCACUUUAGGGCACCACAGCUGGUGCUAGGCCUCUUGGCCUCCCCUUUUAAUUCUGAAACACUGACUUCUCCUAUUUAUUUGGCUGUUAUAAUUUAUGCUUUUGCCUUUUUUCUGGCUGUCCUAAGUCCUGUCAACCAGUCCCAUUUUUGACUUUCAGGUCCUGUCUCUCUUUUUAAAAAAUAAUUUAUUCACGUUAUAUCCCAUUAUCUACUCUGUCUUUCCUUAGUCCUCUCUGUCUCAGCCCUGGGUAUCACCUCCCAUCUCCCCCAGGAAGUCUAGGUGCAACUUCUCUCACUGAGGCCAGACAAGGUGGCCCAGAGAAGUGGUGAUUCACAGGCAGUCAACAAAUUCAGGGACAGCCCCUGCUCCAGUUCUUGGGAGGUUGGGUCCUGUCUUUCACUUAGUUUUGCUCAGCUCUGCAGUAGGUAGAGGUUGAAGUUCUCAGACUUUUCAUGUGUGAUACAUUAAGAGUUGUAGGGAAUCAAACGAGUCAACAUUGAAACUCUCUGUCUCUUUAGGAGUCAUCUGAAUGAUACAUGGAUGUUUUCCACUUUUGUCUCUAAAGGAAGUACAAGUUAAGCUUCUGUACUAGUGACCAACCAGUACAGGGUAUAGUCCUAGGUAGGACUUGCCCUCUGCUAGGAGAAAUUUUGGUUGUUACAACUGGUGGAAAACUGUUGUUCAUGGAUCUUAGGCAGAAACCCAUGCUGCUGUUAGAAUUCUAUAAUACACAGGAGAGUUGUGUAUUGGAAGCAAAUAAACCAAAUAGAAUCAAUAGGUUCAAAAUAGCAAGAGCACUAAGACUGAGAAUCCCUACCAUAAAUGACAUGCGAGCCUUGUACUCAUUACUUUGAUUUCUGUAGUAGUAAUCUGUAUAUAAAUAAUAAAAUCAACAUUAAUGUUCUAUAUUGACAUCAAUAUUAAUGUUAACAUAUAGUUUAAUAAAGUAGCAUUUCAUUACUACUAUUAGUAAUUCUUAUAUACCAGGAAAAUAUAUCAAUGUAAAACUGGGAGUGCCUAUAAUCCCAGCACUUGAGAUGGAAGUUCGAGAAUCAGAGGAAGCUCAAGGUCAUUCUAAGCUACACAGAAAGUUCAGACUGGCUUGUGGGUACACGAGACUCCAUCUCAGAUAAACAACAACCCCUCAAAGUAAACAUCAAAAGUCCCUCCAACAAUAACAUCAAACCCUUAGUAAGUAGAUUCAUGAAUUGCAUAUCACCACUGAUGUGUCUAUAAAAAAGAUAAAGAGAGUGGGGGUCUGUUCCAUGGAGGUAUACUCCAUGGAGGGAAGGUGGUGCCUCUGAGGGCCCUUGUUGAGGCAUCCCUUCCCCCUGAGGGACCGACCACAUGACAGUAUAGUACAGGAUAGAAUAGUUUAUUUAGCGCAUAGGGAGGGAGUCAAGAGGGUAGUAGAAGCCAAGAAAGGAAGAGAGGAG
rnacentral:lncRNA from 1 species